UACGUAGGGUGCGAGCGUUGUCCGGAAUUACUGGGCGUAAAGCGUGCGUAGGUGGUUUGUUAAGUCUGAUGUGAAAGCCCUGGGCUCAACCUGGGAACGGCAUUGGAAACUGGCUUACUAGAGUGCGGUAGAGGGGUGUGGAAUUCCCGGUGUAGCAGUGAAAUGCGUAGAUAUCGGGAGGAACAUCUGUGGCGAAGGCGACACCCUGGACCAGCACUGACACUGAGGCACGAAAGCGUGGGGAGCAAACAGG
rnacentral:rRNA from 1 species